UCUACAACAAACUCAGAUCGAAUCUGCAGCUGAGUCCAACUGACUGACUAACCCUUCCUUACUUGUAGUAAUCAUGAGGAUAGCAAUGAUGAUCUUUGGCCUGGUUUUCACAUUGGCCUUGGUUUCACAGACCGAGUGUUUCACGGCUGGAAUCGGAAAUGUAGGAAAGAGACAACUUAACAAGGCAUACCAGUCGUUAAACCGCAUUUGCAGGGAAACACAAGCCAUCUGUGUAGAAGCCGCAAAGGAUAUCUCACGGAGAUCUAAGACUGGGGAACGCUCUCGCGACACAGGGCUAAAUAUGGAUUGAUAAACAGCGAAGAAUAACGUGAAAAACUAGAACCCAAUGAAGACAGCCUGAAAAGUAUCAAACGCUUAAAAUUUAUCACAGGUCCCCUUUCCUGUCACGGAGAGUGGUUUCAUUUGCGUAUAAACACUUUCAAUGCACAUUUCGAAUAAUUCAUUUUUGUGAUGCAAAUGUAUAAAUGAGAAAAGGUAUAAAUUAUAAAUGUUAAAAAAUAAAGUGCAUACUUCAAAAAGUG